ACCUGUCAGAGAACCAGCUCGUUGGGCUCAUACCUCAGGGAAAACAAUUCAACACCUUUCUCAACGAUUCCUACGCUGGCAAUAUAGGACUGUGUGGGUUUCCCGUUUCAAAAAGCUGCGGCCGUAGUGAACCACCACCAGCAAUUUUUGAUGAAGAGGAAGUUGAUUCUGCAUUUGGAUUGGAUUGGAAAUUUGUAAUGAUGGGUUAUGGAUGUGGAAUGGCUUUUGGGUUUUCAGCUGGCUACAUCAUGAUGACAAUUCGUAAACCAAAAUGGCUUGUUGGGAUGGUUCAACGAGUCGGCAACAAAAUUCCGAAGAGAUUCAAGAAAUAUCGUUGAGGAAGACGGAAUUUGUGAAGACAGAUGUUUGCUCAUCAGUGGCUGCUUGAACAGAGUUUCUCUUAUUUUAAUUUUAAGAUGUAAAAAAAAGUUAUCGGCAAAUAAAUCUAGAAGAUAUAAUGAAAUUUAAUAAUUAUCUAUAUUUUGUACUAAUGAAAAUAGUUGAUUAAGCAUUAAGCGGAACAUAACAAUCAUAUUAAUUUUUAUAACAAAUUUCUUCAGUAAUUUUUUUCUAAAACAAAUUAAUAAUAUAAGAAUAGAAAGAAAUUUUGUUUCUAUAUGUUUGGGUGUCAUAAAAAUAGAUAGUGAUAUAUUUAACAAUAAACAUAAUUAAUCAAUGAAUAUCUAUUUAAAUAAUUAUAAUUAUUUGUUAAUAAUCAAAUGACAUUAUUUUUGAAUUAAAGAGACAUAAUACAUUAUUAUGAAUAAUGGCAACUUUUAAUUAAUAACCAAAUAACUUAUAAUUUUUCAUUUAUAACUAUUAAAACGCUAUAUAUUUUAAAAUUAUUUUAACAUAUAUGACAAAAUUUAUAAUUAAAUAGUAAAUUGGAAAUUCUUACGGUUCCAUGGUCUGUCUCUCAGCUAGUUUCUAUCAUUUCCUCAAUCCAAUCAAAGGAACCAUAAUUUUCUUUUAAUUUGGAUCACUUUGAUUUGAAAUUUUAAUAGCGGAAUUUUAUCAUAGGCAAAUUUAAUGUCUAGAUUUUUCCCAAAUUAUUAUGCCUUAAGUCUCUACCUCUUUUCGAAAUUAAUUUUUUUUUUUGUGAAAAUUGAGUUGGUAUAAGGUUUGAUAUUUAAGAUUAUUUGUUGAAAAAAAGGGGUAAAUUUAGUCGCGAAUUUAAAUGAAGGCAAAGAGGUUCCAAGGUGAAAAAGAUGAAACAGAACAAAUGCUUGCAAUGCAUAAAUCAAGUAAUUAUGUUAUUUAUUUGCAGAAGAAUGAGAUAGAGGGUCCAAUUGCCCCACUGCUCAACCUUUUUCAUCUUCAUCUUUCCUCCAAUAAGUUGAGUGAAAUGGACAAAACUAUCAAAACUUACUACCUUCUUAAUAAAUUCAAUUUUGAUUUAUUCUUGCUCCAGAAAACAAAAAAAUUAAAUAAUAAGCUCAGCAAACGCUGAAUUAAGUUUGAAAAUUAAUUAUUUAACUGCUAAAAUUCAAAUCAAUUCAUUUAUUAUAUAAUUAUUUUCACUCAUUUAAACUUUAUCUCUUUUAACUAUGGUUUGGUGUUGCAACCAUGCCUUUCUCCUACAUCUUUUUAAUAACUAGUCAUUGAGGAUAUGUUUGUUUUAGCUUCCUCUUAUUGUUAGUUUUCGGGGUGUUUGGUAAUCAGAGUUUUGGGACUUUUUUAGUUGAUUUGGGCACAAAUGGAUGAUUGAAUAGUCAAACUCUCUAAUUGUAAUGUUUAGUGAAUAAAGGUUUGUAAGAGCUUGCUGAGUUAAAACCUCCAAAACAAAAAAUGCAAAGAUGGGCAACGUUUUUCACAACUAAUAAUUGGGAAUGAGAUAUGUGUGGAAUAACACAUCUGACGAUACUUACUCAAAAGUUACUCCCUUUUGCCACAUGCUCUCAAAUCUAAUAGGGGUGCCAAGAUAUCUAAUACCCUCCAUUCUCCCAUUUUUACUUUCAUGUCCAAAGUCCGAAAUAAAUCUCAAAAAAGAAAAUAAACUUCACCAUGGAUCUACAAUAAUCAACUAUGGAGAUUCAUUUGCAAGAUUCAUUUUCUAUGCUUUUACAUAACUACAUCAGAUUAAAGUAAAGUUUUUGACCCAAUAUUUAGGGUCAUAAAUGUAGAUCUAAAUUUUAUUCUUCCCAAAGCAUUUUCGGAUGCUAAAUGCAAUUUCACUCAAGAAAUUGAGCGUGCGAGUACAAAUGAAAUGAAAAAAAGUUCAAUUCUCAAUAAAUAUUCAAAAUUUCAUCUUAGAUCGGUUUAGUUCAAUUCUGACAACAUUUUCAUUUUCUAUAAAAAGAAGAUAGAAAUCAUUUAUUUUAAUUUUGAUUUUACAAAGAUAUUUAAAAAGAAUCAAAAUACUUUUUAAAUGUUGCAAUUAACAACAGUUACAAUUCUAAUUAAGUUUAAUUUGGAGAAAAAAUCAAAUGUAAGUAAGUCUAAUAUGGUUCGAGCUUCCUUGACUUAAAUUGCAAUUAGCUUCGGUGUACUUUCUUACAAAGACUAAAUGUAGCCCUGAAUUUAAUCCAUAAUAGGAUGCGUGAGUGUGACAAAUGAAAAUUUCAACCCUUUCCACAAGCAUUGAUCUAUCUCUCAACCAGUUCUCAUGGAAAAUUGGAAGCCAAACUUAGUUAUUGUCGGUUAAUAGAAAAGGAUGCAAUUAACAAAAUAUUUUUUAUUAACUUGACUUCGAUGUUUUUUAGUGUAAAUAGAGAGUAGAUUUGAAGUUUUUGUUACGUAUCUGUAAUACACAUGAAAACAAGUUUUUGAAACUAGCAAAGUUGGUUUAGGGUAUUUUUCAGAUUAUUUUGAUUUAAAUCUUAUAUUUUGUAGAUUUUUUUUUAAAAAUUUAUUUUGAUCUAAGUCCGAGUAUAUUUUGAUUUCUAGCCUUUUGUUUUUUAUAUUAAAUUAAUUUUAGUUUUAAUCGUAUAUUUUUUGAAAUUUAAAUUAAAAUAAUUCCAAAGAAGACUUAAUAAUAGUUUUGAUAAAUAAAUAAAAAACUACAACCGUUGGAUUAAGAAUUUCCCCAAUGAAAUGUGAAGAUGAUUGGAGUUGUUUGCUUAGAAUUUAAUAUAAAUGCAUGCUCACCACUCCAUUUUACAUUCUCCUUUUGCUCGACAUCUCUGAGAAAAACAUGAAAGGGUGGUUAAUACACUUGUAUUUUCUGUUAUUUUCCCUCUUCUUUUCCUCUAAUUCUUGUGCUCUACCACUAUUGUCGUGCCCUCAUGACCAAAGUGCUGCCUUAAACCAAUUCAGCAACUCCUUCUCCGUUGAUUGCUCCUAUUUCGACCCAUGGGAAGCACACAUGACUAAGACAAUCUCCUGGAUGGAAGGGACAAAUUGUUGUCUGUGGGAUGGGGUUAACACUGAUACCGAAACAGGGAAUGUGAUUGCCCUUGAUCUUAGCUUCAGCUGCCUUGUUGGUCCUCUCCAAUCUAACAGCACCCUCUUCCUUCUAUCCCAUCUCCGUCAACUUAACCUUGCUGGGAAUAAUUUCAACAUGUCCCCGAUGGCAUCCCAGUUUGGUCAGUUGACUAGUUUGACCCAUCUAAACAUCUCUGGUUCAGGAUUUAGUGGUAAAAUCCCCCUUGCAAUCUCACACCUUUCUGAACUGUUGUCCCUCGAUCUGUCCGGUAAUUAUGGUUUGAUCUUUGAAGGGCAUGUCUUUGAAAAUGUCGUGAAAAACUUGACGCAACUAAGACACCUUCAUCUCUCAAAUAUCGAUAUGUCUUCAGUUGUGCCUACCUCUUUCCUUAACAUGUCUUCUUACAUAACAACUCUUAUCCUUGAGGAGAAUGGACUUCAAGGAAAGUUCCCAGAAGAUGUUUUCCACUUUCCAUACCUGCAGAAGUUCGAUCUUUUUGAGAUCGAAAACCAGCUAGAACUCAAGUUCCCAAAGACAAAUUGGAGUGGUCCCCUCAAGUCAUUGCAAGUCAGACGUGCAUAUUUGCAGGAACUACCUGAUUCAAUUGGCAAUCUUAGAUCUUUGGAGAUAUUGGAUCUUCUCCGUAGUAAUUUAAAAGGGCCAUUCCAGCAUCUCUCGGAAACCUCACACAACUUGAAUAUCUAGAUCUUUCCUCUAAUAACUUUUGGUGCUCCUAUUCCAUGUUCAGUUUUCAACCUCACUCAAGUUCAGUUUCUAGAUUUUUCUUGAAACGAGUUGGUGGGUUCCCUUCCAUCAAAAGUGAGUGGGCUUUCACAACUUAGAAUUCUACGCCUUCAUCACAACUUUCUCAGUGGCGGAGUACCAUCCUGGUUGUUCACUCUUCCAUCUUUAGUUCAGUUAAGGCUCAAUAGUGACAAGUUCAAUGGCAAUUUUGAAUUGGACAAACUAUCAGAGCUCAGCAAACUUGAGGUGCUCUCUCUCUCAGAUAAUGCUUUGUUAUCAUUCACCAGUGUAAGCAAUGCCAAUUACUCUUUGUCUAAUCUUGCGAGAUUAGAACUCUCUUCUUGCAACAUCAGCGAAUUUCCAAAUUUUGUAAGAAACCUAGAAGGUUUGACCGAUCUAGACCUUUCUUACAAUAGAAUUCAUGUUAUCGAGGCAGAUAUGUUUCUAAAGCUUAAAGGCCCUAAAGUCUUGGAUCUUUCACACAACAUUCCGUUGUCUGUGCGCGACGAUAGCGAGGUUGAUCUUGUUUUGCCCAUUCUUAAUAGUUUGUUGUUGUCUUCUUGUAAUAUAACAGAAUUAUCAAAUUUCUUAACAACGCAAGAGAGUUUGAAAUAUUUACACCUUUCAAACAACAGCAUUCAAGGCCAAAUUACAGAACAAGAAAACAAUUGGGGAAGCAACCUACUGACUCUUGAUCUCUCUGACAAUUUGUUGACAGCUCUAGAAUAUUAUCCAUGGAAGAGUAUUCAAGUUCUUGUGCUUGGCUCUAACCUGCUAGAAGGGCCACUUCUAGCACCACCACCUUCCACGAUGGUUUUCAUAAUCUCAAACAACAGAUUAAAUGGAGAAGUUCCAUCUUCGAUAUGCAAUUGCAAUCCAGAGAGUUCGAAUUUCAUUGUUUAUCUCGACUUGUCCUAUAACAACUUGAGUGGAGCAAUCUCAAAAUGUCUGGGCUUCAGACAACUUUCAAUUUCGGAUUUGCAGAUGAAUAAUUUUAAUGGAAACAUCCCUGAUUUUUGUGUUGAGAGAGAUCCCAAGUUACGAAUACUUAACCUCAACAACAAUGAUUUUGAUGGGCCAUUACCUAAAUCCUUGGCCAAUUGUCUUCGUUUAGAGGUGUUGAAUCUUGGAAACAACAUGAUAAAUGACACAUUUCCACACUGGCUGGGAGAUCUUCCUUGGCUACGAGUUCUUGUGUUGCGAUCCAACUAUUUUCAUGGCCAAAUAGCCCAUUCUGCAAAUGAGUCACAUUUCUCGACUCUGCAAAUUUUAGACCUCUCACAUAAUAAGUUCUCUGGUUUUCUGCCAACAACAUACUUCACAAAUUUCAAAGGUAUGAUGUAUUUGGCCGAUGUUCCAAUGGUUUAUAUAGGACCUUCAGCUGACCAACACUAUUACACUGAAUCCUUGGUUGUCACAAUGAAAGGUAUGGACAUCAUGCUUGAGGGAAUUCUAAUUAUUUUUUCAGCCAUGGAUAUGUCGAGCAACAGAUUCGAAGGAACAAUUCCAGAAACAGUUGGAAACCUUAUUUCUCUCGAAGUGCUCAACUUCUCCAUAAUCACUUAACUGGUCAUAUUCCUUCAUCAUUAGGGAAUCUGGCAGCACUGGAGUCACUAGAUCUCUCUUGCAACAAGCUUGUUGGGGAGAUUCCUUCAGAGUUGACUGAUCUGAAUUUUCUCGAAGUGAUAAACCUGUCAGAGAACCAGCUCGUUGGGCUCAUACCUCAGGGAAAACAAUUCAACACCUUUCUCAAUGAUUCCUACGUUGGCAAUACAGGGUUGUGUGGGUUCCCCGUGUCAAAAAGCUGUGGCCGUGGUGAUCCACCACCAGCAAUUUUGGAAGAAGAGGAAGUUAAUUCUGCAUUUGGAUUGGAUUGGAAAUUUGUAAUGAUGGGUUAUGGAUGUGGAUUGGUUUUUGGAUUUUCAGCUGGAUACAUUAUGAUGACAAUUCGGAGACCAAAAUGGCUUGCUGGGAUGGUUCAACGAGCAGGGAACAGAGUUCUGAGGAGAAUCAACAAAAAUCAUUGAGGAAGAUGGAAUUUGAGAUGACAGAUGUUUUGCUCAUCGAUGGCUGGCUGGUUGAACACUUUUUUUAUAGAAUAGCUCUAGCUUGCUCCCAUAAUUUUAGAUUUAAGAGUUUAUUUUAUUUUUGUAUUAUCUU
rnacentral:lncRNA from 1 species